CUCGCUUGACCUCUGCUAAUGGUAGGCACCUUGUCGUGGUGCAGAGGCUUAGUCGCAAGGCAUACUCGGCGCCCCCCAACCGGCGUGGAUGGUGUUGACUAGCACUAUUCAGGCAGGUUGUCGGGAGCCGCAUGCGUGCGGCGACCAAGGACUACCACCUCCUAAUCCAGGGUGUCAUGCGACCCGUGCCCAUUGGAUGAUUUGCAGCCAGGAGGAACUUUCGGCUGUAUUUUAAUGGAGCCUUCCCAACACCGGGCCGAAUUGGGAAGUAACGGUGGCCUUACGGCGUCAAGGGGCUCUGGCGUGGCGGACCUUCCUGUUCCCCAUACAGAACAUAGACCCGGCAGCUCACCCUGUUGAGCGAAGGGUCGUACGAACAAGAUGAAAAACGACAACACACAAAAAACCAACACAAAAACUGGAUCUGAUGACGGACUAGGGCAACGACAAGGGACAACGGUAUCGGAUAAGGAAAAGGAGAUCGGGACAGCGGAAGGAAAGGGGGGUCGAGGCGCUAGACGUAAGCCUAGCUACCUUGACGCUCUCACGCCAGAGGAGCGUUCGCUAUUCGAGGAGCACGCCUGCGAGGAUGAUGACGACGUGCCCUCUGGCAGCGGAGCUCACCUGGUGGGUACGCCUGGUGCCGCUGCGGCAACGAACGUCGGCGAGACCCCCCCCGGAGGGUGCAGCGGGUCGGCCUCUGGUGAGUCGUGUCGGGCAGAGCCUGACGGCACAAAAAAGAGAAGGAGGAGAAGGCGCAGAAGAGGUGGGCAACGCCCCCUCCCAGAAGCUGGCCCACCCAGCGGGUGUGAGGAUUCACGCAGGAAGGGGAUGAGUGGCUCCACCAUGAGGUGGUACCUAUGCCACCUCCACGAUGGGAAAACUCCGGAAGCGGCGGAGGCUCUAGCCAGGGGCAAGAGCCAAUGGAGCAACGUUACCCCGGCAAAUAGACGCGGCAACAAUGUGCCAGCUCGCGCGCAGGGCAGGGCAGCGGUAGCAGUGGCCGUGGCUCGGUCAGCACAACGCAGUCCAUACGGCGGGGCGACAGCGGGGCAUCGCCCGCAAACACAUGCGCCCAGGCCGAAAAACGUAAAAGCGGCCAAAUCACGCCACAGAAGCCCCCACAAUCCAAGAGGGUACGGGGCAUAGACGCAAAGGCAGCCGGGGGCCAACCAUCUGGACCGGCUCCUCACCGGGUGGAGGAGGGGCGGCCCGGGUAUGCGGACGCUGUUAGGGGCAUCCGCAUGGCUGUUCUGCCUUUCAAAUACCCGGCGGAGUCGCUAAAACCGGAGGAACUCACGGUGCUGCAGGACAUCCUCAUGGACGAGGUGUGCAAAGGCGUGGAAUAUACGGCGUCCUUCCUGGGCAUCGAUUUCAGGGGAGGCAUGAUGCAGGUAGACUGCCAUGACGAGGCGUCCGCCGACUGGCUGAAGGAGCAUGCUCCAAAGCUGGGAGGCUGGACGGGCCCUGUCCUCUGCGCGAAGAGGGUGGAAGAUGUGCCAAUCAUGCACAGCAUGACAGUUUUCCUCCCUCGGUGUGGAGACAGGUCCUACGAGAACGCCUUGGGCCUGGUGAGGAACCAGAACCGGGGACUCAGUAUCUCGGCCUGGUGUGGUACCAGCAGCAAGAAGGAGAAGCUAGGGGAUAUGGAAGGAUGGAGGCUGAACUUAUACAUAGACGACGAGUCGUAUAAGUAUGUUCGGGCCGCGAGCUUCCGCCUGUUCUACAGGUACAGCACGGUCGUUAUGCGGCCCUACAAGCCAGCUGACACCGGGAGCAAGGAAGCCAAGACGCCCGCGCCUCCACAGGACAAAGGCGUCGAUAUCCAGGCAGUGCCGGAUUCCGCCCCGGUGGAUACAAGGAUGGAGGUGGACGAGUCGUCGGAGCAGCCCUGCGGGAGCAGGUCUGAACAGGCAGUGCCAAGAACGACCACGGACGUCCCCGAAGAUGGCCGGAAUAUGGAGCUACCCUCAACGCAGGAGCUCCUAGACGGACUUGGAGGCCCAAUUGACAGCAGCGCGGUUGACGGUGGGAUAGAGGAUCUUUCUCUCCUCGAGCCCAAUCUAUGAUGGCCGUCAAUAUGGAAAUUGCCCAAGUGAACCUGCACCAUGCGGCGGCAGCCUCAGCUGUCAUAACAAACAGGUUCACUGCGGAGAAACUGGGCACGCUGCUGAUCCAAGAGCCUUGGGUCCAUAAAGGAGAGGUAAAGGGCCUCAAGACAGAGGCAAAUAAGAGUUUCUGACGCAGGAUUUGGUGGCGGUGCAGGCUAGGGACACCGAGGGCAAUGACUUCGUCCUAGCCUCAGCAUACUUUCCGGGAGAGGCAGCAACGGAACCCCCGGAGGCGGUGGAAAGGCUGGUGGAGCACUGCAGUUUGCACAAGCUCCCCCUUAUCAUCGGAUGUGACGCGAACGCCCACCAUACGGAAUGGGGCAGCACCGACUGCAACGCGAGAGUUGUAGAUAAUUUCGUCUAUUUUGGAACCAGCGUAAACACCACAAACAAUGUCAGCCUAGAAAUCCAACGCAGGAUAACUUUUGCCAACAGGUGCUACUUUGGACUGAGUAGGCAAUUGAGAAGCAAAGUCCUCUCUCGACAAACAAAAACCAAACUCUAUAAGUCACUCAUAAUUCCCGUCCUGCUAUAUGGUGCAGAGGCUUGGACGAUGUCAACAACGGAUGAGUCGACGUUGCGAGUGAAAAGUUCUGCGAAAGAUUUAUGGUCCUUUGCGAUCAGCUGGACGAGAUAUACGACGACAUUGACAUAGUUCAGCGAAUUAAAAGACAGCGGCUACGUUGGCUAGGUCAUGUCGUCCGGAUGGACGAAAACACUCCAGCUCUAGCGAAAAGAAGGAACGACUGGCGCGCAGUUGUUAAUCAAUUAAGAAGAAGAAGAAGAAUUAGUAUUCCAUAAGCAAUAUGAAGACUCCACAAGUAAUACGCAAUAAAUGUUUGCCCGUCGAGAUGCCUCGUAACAACUAUCAUUACAACAUAUUAGGGGUAUUCUCUUGAUCUUGCAAAACCCUUUCACGGUGCAAGAAUUCCAUAUAUUUCCUCUUGGUGCACCGGCACAACAACAAACACACGCAGAAAAUUAUUUGCAAUGGUUGUAAAAUAUGUCAGACCAAAACCCAUGUAUAUUUGCGUGCAAUGUCUCGCAAAAAUAUAAUUGCAACCCUGUUUUAGCUGUCAUUUUACAUAAAAACAUAUUACCUCGUUAUAUUGUUGAGGAAAUUUUCCAAAAAUGUGAAUAUCGAAGUUGCGCCCCCAGCGUAGAGGAAAAGGCAGUAGCCAAACAAAAAGUGGAAGGAGAGUGAGGUGCACUCUAUUAUAGAGUUUUUAAUGGAAGAGACGGAAUUUGAGGCUCCAACUGCGCAAUUUUUUUAUAAAGGAUUUUUACAUAAAUCGCAGUUGGAUGUCUCAUGGGAUCUGGUUCGGUGGAAGGUCCGACAUUUGAAGGCGCAGUACCGUAAAGUCAAUGACUGGCUCGCGUCAACGGGUGCAGGACUACAAGACGAAGCUGACAGCAGAACCUUCGAAGCAAAAAUUGCUAAAAUGUGUCCAUAUUACGACCAGCUGAAGGAAAUAUUUGGAAAGCGGUUGCCGGAUAUGCAACCGUUACUGGUUGAAAGUAACAUUACUCGCCACAGUUAUGUCCAGUUACUCCUGCACCAGAAUUCGAAGUAGAAUUCUUGGAAGAAGAAUGUAUACCUGCUGCGGCAUCAAAUGCCGCACCUGCGAUCGCACCAAUCUCCAAACCAGUAUCAACAUACCAACGGUCAGUUCGGCCUUCGAAAUCAUUCGUUGGACAAUUGGCGACUGUCCAAGCAGAAAAAACUGCUAUGGAAGCGAAGAAACUGGAAUUUGAUAAAUAUAAAUUCGAGGAGGAAAAGAAAAUUCAAGAAAGGAGGUUAGAUAUUGAGUCAAAAAAAUUAGACAUAGAAUUGAAAAAAAUUGAAACUAAUGAAAAAUGUAAGAUGUUAAGAAUUAGAAAUGAAAGAAAGAGUAGCUAUGUACGAAAUUGAAAAAAAAAAAAUGAAAAUAAAAA